rnacentral:rRNA from 1 species
UCGCUCCUACCGAUUGAAUGUUCCGGUGAACACUUUGGAAUCGUGAUCUUUUCGAGGCAACUCUUGAGAUCAAUGGUGAAGUUGUGUAAACCUUAACAUUUAGAGGAAGGAG